ensembl:lncRNA
AGAAUGAAACUCAACAACAGGGAAGCAGGGAGCAGCAGCCAGGUGCAUGCCAUUGGCGGGGGUGGAAUUAGGUUCCCAGAACCUCAGGGGCGCUCUGUCUCACCUAACAGCAGGCUGCAGGCUGGUUUGCUCUCCACGCUGCAUGGAGUCUACUCCUGAGUUUCAACAACCCCAAGAUGCAACCGCACCGACAACAGAGCACGAAGCACCCAGAGGCUCCUGGAACCAACCGACACCAAGGGCACCAGGGCGUCAGGAGCUCUAUCUUCUCCAAACAAGACGGACGUCAACAAGCAGGUGACACAAGGCCUUCUGACCUCACUGGCCUCACAAAAGGACGCCCCUAAAAAACCCUAGACCUGGCGGGAAGGGGUUGAGGCUGAAGCUCCGUCCACACUACUGGCCUUAAUUAGUAAAUUGAGUAACAAAGUGCAGCCCCUGCCUCAGGGCCAGCACAGCGCCACCCAGAGGCACCCUGAGCCUCCGAGGGUCCCUAGGUGGAUAUCCAGAACCAUGGGAUGCUUCACAGGAACGCCUACUCCAGCUCCACCUCCUCAGCAGCAGGGGAAUCUGAGGGCCUCAAUGCCUCGUCCGCUGUGGCGGAGACGGCACCGGGGCUAACAGCCUCGGCAAAACUGAAGUCCUACCUGCAGACUCCAGGGAGCAGUCGCUCUCGGCGGCGAAUCUCACCGGUGCUGAAGGGCAGGGAGCCUGACGCCGGCACUGGAGUGAGUUUCCCGCCGCUCAGGCCCGAGCUCACUCAGAGCCCGCCCACCAGAGAGGAUGCCGGGAAGCCAGCAGACCUUCAUUCACGCCCCGCCCACUGCUGAGAGAGGCUCCCCGGCCCACCUGCCCAAAGAGCGUGAAAAGAACGCAGGGAAGCUGGCACAGCCCAGCAACCCUGGAACCUAGUUGGGCAAGCCGAGCUCUGCUGAACACAUCCAGUGACCCUGUUCAGCCAGGGAACUUGAGACACGGGUGGGCUUAAGUCAAGAACACAAGAGCCCUACCGUCUUGGAGCUAGUUCUCCCACUCUGCCUGGGCAGGGAACCAAUUUGUACCCCCACCCACUGCUAAAUGCAAGCGCUCACCCAGGGAGCCUAACAGGAGCACAUCGGGCAGCCCAUCCCAGAGCCAUGCUUACAGUGGCAUUUAGUGCACGGCCCGUGCUUCUCUGUCUUACCAGCGAGUUCAGUGCCGUCUGGCUUAAUUAGGAGGCCUAAACAACGGUGCCCGCCAGGGAGGGAAGCAAACUCGGAGUUCUGCUUACUACUGUGUAUAGUACCCAGUCUCAAAAGCCGGAUAAGCCUGACCAGAGGCCCUAGGCAACAGCAAAGCCCAUCCUACAGCCUUACUAGGGCAGGGAAACAAGCCAGAAUUCCUAUCCAAGACCUCUCAGCAGCAACACCACUCCUGCCCUCCCACCUUUCAGGGCUCUGGGCAGGGGCCUUGCCCCAAAACAGACCCUAAUAUAGCAGACCCCACCUGCCCACAAGCAUUACCAGUAGACACAUCCAGAAACCUCAACAGAGCUGACUGGUGAAAAGCUGUCUCUCCCAAGACAAACCUGUAAAACCUGGAAGAGAAGCCCAUUUACUCACAAAAAUACACAUAAACAUGACAUCACCAAAGUAAACUAAUAACUGACACUAAAGUAAUGGAGAUCUAUGAACUGUCAAAGAAUUCAGAAUAAUCCUCUUAAGGG